rnacentral:lncRNA from 1 species
ACCACCUGCUUGCUUAACGAUGUAGCCUUCUUCGCCAUGACGUCUAUUUUAACCAAUACAGAUUAUACAAGAAUCACAAAGUAUUCAAGAGCCACAGACAUGGAAAAUUAGUUGUGGAAGAUGUUCUCUUGCCAGCAGCUCCAUUCAGACUUGACCAUGGUUCCCCCUCUGUCCAGGCCACUCAUAAAAAAAUGGGUGCAUCAUGUGUUGCUGGCACGAACCCGGCCUGUUUAGAGUUUUUUAAUGAAUUGUGGGCGUUGCAUAUUCACGUAUUUCAAUUU